rnacentral:rRNA from 1 species
AUGAUUGAUCGUUUCCAGGGGGAGGAGAUGGUGUACCACAGCUUCGAUUCGGUAGAAGACGACCCACAUAACUACUAUCCACCAGAAUUCCUAAACACUCUCACCCCAAAUGGACUGCCUCCACAUAUGUUGAAGCUCAAAUUAAUUGCCCAAUCAUACUACUCAGAAACAUCGACCCUGCUAAUGGACUAUGCAACGACACGAAGUUGGUCGUACGUGGAUUUCAAAAAAAUACAAUUGACGCGAAGAUUGUGGUGGGACAACACUCUGGAAUGCGAGUUUCCUGCCCAGGAUACCAUUAUGCCCCUCUGA